rnacentral:tRNA from 1 species
GUCGGGGUGGUGGAAUGGGCAGACACGUACGCUUGAGGGGCGUAUGUCGCAAGGCGUGAGGGUUCAAGUCCCUCUCCCGACACCA